rnacentral:RNase_P_RNA from 2 species
AGGUGCCGAGUCGAUUGACGCUCCGCAAGGGGUGAGGAAAGUCCUGGCACAGAGUAUGGCCGCUCGCGAAAUGCGAGGAGGGGAGACCCUACGGCAACGAACGGACAGCAACGUACCGAUCGCGUCAUACGGAAUGAUGCGCUGCAGCUCCCGGCGACGGGGGUGGAUGCGCUGACAUCGGCGCGAGGCGGAUGAAACGAACGUCCCGGCCUGUGCAAGGCCAGUAUGGCCGCUUAGUUGAAUAUCGACGAUGGCAACCCACGCCUUCGGUGGCAUGGUGCCUACAGAACCAGGCUUACCGGCACCU